rnacentral:misc_RNA from 1 species
AAUAGGCUUGGCGUUCGUGGUGCGUAAUCAGGACGCGGGCGUCCUGCUGCCAGCGUUGGCGCAUCCGUCGCCGGCGCUCGAUCCAGUCGGUGAGGACACGGAGCAUUUAGUUGCGCUUUCCGAUGCGGAAAGAACCGGCAGGAAGGGCGAUCAUGGUUCGGGAGCCAUUCCCCUUUCGACGUCCGCCUGCGCAUUCUGGAUGUACAGCCAC